UACGUAGGGGGCAAGCGUUGUCCGGAUUUAUUGGGCGUAAAGAGCGUGUAGGCGGUUCGGUAGGUCCGUUGUGAAAACUCGAGGCUCAACCUCGAGACGCCGAUGGAAACCAUGUGGCUAGAGUCCGGAAGAGGAGAGUGGAAUUCCUGGUGUAGCGGUGAAAUGCGCAGAUAUCAGGAAGAACACCCGUGGCUAAGGCGGCUCUCUAGUACGGUACUGACGCUGAGACGCGGAAGCGUGGGGAGCGAACAGG
rnacentral:rRNA from 1 species